UACGAAGGGGGCUAGCGUUGUUCGGAAUGACUGGGCGUAAAGGGUGCGUAGGCGGUGCAAUACGUUCGAUGUGAAAGUCCUGAGCUUAACUUGGGGAUUGCAUUGAAUACGGUUGUGCUAGAGUGCGAGAGGGGAAGAUGGAAUUGCUGGUGUAGAGGUGAAAUUCGUAGAUAUCAGCAAGAACACCGGAGGCGAAGGCGAUCUUCUGGCUCGUAACUGACGCUGAGGCACGAAAGCGUGGGGAGCAAACAGG
rnacentral:rRNA from 1 species